rnacentral:sRNA from 1 species
ACGGAAGUGCCUGGAAGCGGAAGCGCCUGGAAGCGGAAGCUGGACAGACGAGGAGAGGCCUUGGGUGUGACAUCAACGGAAGCUGAGGGAAGCAAAACUCAGCAAGGACGCACCCGGUCUGCUGGCCUGGGGCUUUGGGUUGGUGACGUGGACGAUGAGUCUAAUUUUGGGGCAUCCGAGCAGUUGUGCAGUGGUCAGUGGGGUGCAGGGGUGGACGUGAAGUCAACCCACGCUGGCCUCAGAGCCCCAGCGACCUGCAGGCAGGUCAGGAGCCAGAGGCUGGGGCGGGGGCGGAGGAGGCCACGGGAGGAACAGGGAAAGGUCGGGGGAAGCACAGGCGGGCCCCUCUUUCCAGAUUCCCUCCUUUAAGAGGGCGGGGAGAAGAAAGGCCCCAGCAGGCAGCGAGCUCAGGCGCCCUCGCCUCGCCUCGCCUCUUCUUUCCUCUUCCUAUGAAGAGCGAGACAGGGGAAGGAGCGGGGGAUUCCUCGCUGGCUCCAGGAGGUGGGGCAGCAGGGGCCUGGGAGUGAAGGCGCUGUGAGGCCCGACAACCUCCUUUCUGCCCAGACAGGAAACCCGAACCCUCCCACACCCGCCUGUGCUGAGGUGCUGCCCCCACCUGAAGAGGGAGGAGGGCAGCCAAGGCCUGGGAGGCGGGAUGGAGCCUCCCUUUAGGGGAGUGAGCAUUUCCUCCUGGGAAUCUGCGUGUUUCCAAGAAUCAGAACUGACCAAGAAAACUAUCCCCGAGCUCAGGAAAGCCAGGGAGAACAGUGGCCCCUGCGCCAGGCCUGCGAUUUCCACAGGACCCAGUGGCAUGGCAGGAGAUUGCCUAAUUUCUGGUUCUUCAGUUCUUUUCCAAAAAUCCCAUUUGUUUUAUAUAUUAUUUUAUGUGGUGUGUAUGUGUGUGUAUGUUUCUGUUCCAGCUGAAAAAAUUCCCUUUACAAACAUGUCCAAAGCCUCUGUACCCAAGAGGUUGAAAAUUAAAUAAAAUAGGCGUGUCCAACUCCCACUCUCCCGUCUGCAGGCACAACCCGAAGCCUGGAAUAAGUCACUAGCCCAUCACUGUCUCCCAAGACACGAACCUGAGAUGGAAGUGCUUGGGAAGCUGCUGUGAGAGACACAGUCCCCAAGAAUGAGGCUGGGAGGCUGCUUUCUUCUGUCAUGUUCACCCCCGACAUGCACACAUCCUUGUGCGCUCGCUCGCGUGCUCUCUGUCAACAAAACCUCCCCCAGCAUCUUUCCUGGUGACUCCCGACUGCUUCUGCCCCCUCCCGGUGGACCAGUUUCUCUCCCGUUCACAGCAUCCUAGCCCACCCCCGUCUCCCAACUUUCUUGAAAGGGGACUGACGGUGCCUAGAGCCUUGGAGAGGACACAGGGAAAGAACUCUCCUCCUGAAUUUUGACUUUGUGCCCAGAAGCACAGGUUUUGGAGAGAAUCAAGUCUGGGGCAGACCAUGAUGUCAGGAGAUGGAGACCAUCCUGGCUAACACAGUGAAACCCUGUCUGUACUAAAAAAUACAAAGAAUUAGCCGGGCGUGGCGGCAGGCGCCUGUACUCGGGAGGCUGAGGCAGGAGAAUGGCGUGAACCCAGGAGGCGGAGCUUGCAGUGAGCCGAGAUCGUGCCACUGCACUCCAGCCUGGGCGACAGAGCCAAACUCCGUCUCAAAAAAAAAAAAAAAAAAAAAGGCCAAGGCUGGCGAAUCAUGAGGUCAGGAGAUCGAGACCAUCCUGGCUAACACGGUGAAACCCCGUCUCUACUAAAAAAUACAAAAAAUUAGCCGGGCAUGGUGACGGCCACCUGUAGUCCCAGCUACUUGGGAGGCGGAGCUUGCAGUGAGCCGAGAUCGUGCCACUGCACUCCAGCCUGGGCGACAGAGCCAGACUCCAUCUCAAAAAAAAAAAAAUGAAAGCUCACUGAAAUCAACGGUGUGGGGUACUUUCUGAAACGUGUUUCUUAUUUAGCCUUUCAGGUUGCCCGAGAGCAAAGAAAAGCGGUAUCAGGAUAGCACAGAGCAAAGAAGAUAAAGAAGAUCAAGAGCCCAUCAGGUGUCCGGUCCCCGGGUGCGACGGCCAGGGCCACAUCACUGGGAAGUACGCGUCCCAUCGCAGCGCCUCCGGGUGCCCCUUGGCGGCCAAGAGGCAGAAAGACGGAUACCUGAAUGGCUCCCAGUUCUCCUGGAAGUCGGUCAAGACGGAAGGCAUGUCCUGCCCCACGCCAGGGUGCGACGGUUCAGGCCACGUCAGCGGCAGCUUCCUCACACACCGAAGGAGCUGAGGCCCCCAUGGGGAGCUGAGGACAAGGUGGCCGUGUGCAGCCCCUCUGGAGCACGGCGUCUGCAGGGACCCCUGGGUGCUGCCAACAACAGGGGUCCACCCUGGGACGGAACCAACUGGCAGGACCCCGGGGUCCUCUGGUCUACUUCUCACCCUACAAUGCAGGCCCCAGGCCCCCAGCCGGGCAGUGAGGCCCUGUACAUACACUGGGGCAUAGGAACGGGACAGGGCCACCCCCCCUGGGGGGCCACAGCUGUCACUCUGUGCUCACUCAGUGGCCUUGAAAGAAGCGCCUGAAGCGAGAGAACAUGGGUGACGGGGUUUCCCCGAAGUCAAGUCAAAGCAGCCAACGUGCACCGUGUCCAUCCUCAUUUUAUGCGCCUUCGUCUUGGCGUAGCCUCAGCAGCUGCUUUUGGCUGCGGCUUUUAAGCUGUGAAAGUAUUUGCUGGGAAUGUCCUUGGCUCCUCACGCAGCACCUCCUCCCUGUUAGGCUGAUUUCUCUGCUGGAUCUAAAACAGGAGGGAGGAAGCAUCGUGAGUGGCGCUGGGGGCUUGAGCGGCUCCUCCCUCUCUCCUCUGGGGGUGCCCACCAGGGCCCAAAGCUUCUGGGAACCCAGCGGGGAGCUCUGCUCCUAAGCCAGGAAUUGCCAGGCACCACACAACUGCUGUCCGCGGGGCCUGUCCAGUUUCCCCAAGUGCUUCUGCUUCAUUUGCUAAUCCAUACAGCGUAGCUCAGAAUGAUCGCUUGCCUUGGGUCCCCAAACACUACCCGAGCUGGAAAGUGCUUGUGUGAUGUGUUAGUAAUGGAUAAUACAAAAUUUUUAACAUGGGA